UACAGAGGGUGCGAGCGUUAAUCGGAAUUACUGGGCGUAAAGCGCACGUAGGCGGCUUGGUAUGUCGGGUGUGAAAUCCCCGGGCUCAACCUGGGAACUGCAUCCGAAACUGCCUUGCUCGAGUAUGGGAGAGGGAAGUGGAAUUUCCGGUGUAGCGGUGAAAUGCGUAGAUAUCGGAAGGAACAUCAGUGGCGAAGGCGACUUCCUGGACCAAUACUGACGCUCAGGUGCGAAAGCGUGGGGAGCAAACCGG
rnacentral:rRNA from 1 species